UCCUUUUUCUCCUUUUAGGUUUGACAAGCUGAUAUCCCCACCUAACGGGCAAAAGCUCCCUGAUCAACGUAUUGAGGACCUACCCGGAUUAGAGCUCUGAUCCUAGCGCCUACGGUUCCUCUAAAACGGAACUCACUAAAUUUAAGUUGGGACAGAUAACCCUUCUUGUCUCCCCCAGGUCGUCCGUUUUGGUCCGGAGUCCGGCAUUUACCCUUGCCACCCGGGGAGGUUGCAAGCAUCAGGAGCUCCCACGUUGAUUGGAGUGGCGAUGGUGACUGGGCGUGGCUGAUGACCGACGAUAGGUGUAUUGUAAUUAUUCCUUAUUUUGCUUAUACUUCAUAUAUUUUCCAGACUCUCUAUUUAGGCUAUAAAUCCAAUUCAGUUUGUAGGUUAAGCCUUUUUUUUAUUUGUAGGUUAAGCUCUAUUUAGUUUGUAAGUUAAACUCUAUUUAGUUGGUAAGUUUUAAUCUCAUAUAGUUUUUAGGUUGUAACUUCCUGAUGCACGUAGUUUUUAGGAUUAAUUCGCAUGUAGUUUCUCAAGAUUAAUUGACACGUAGCUUUUAAGAUUAUUCGGCAUGUAGAUUUUAGCCUUGUGUUUUUCUUUCUUAUUUGUAGUUGAUUAAUUAAUUUAGGUUGUAGCCAAAAAUGCAAAUUUUCUUGAACACAAAUUCACGGCAAAUAAAAAACUCUUUCGCUA